AACCCUGUCUCAGAAAAACAAAUUAAACACACACACACACACACACACACAAAUAAUAAAAUAAAUAAAACAAAAAACAAAAACAAAAAAAAACCCAGACGUAUUUAUUACAACAUAUUUACAGUUUUUCAGAAGGAAUUUGAAGUAUGUGUGGGGAUGGUUAUAUGUGCACGCUCAGCUCCUCGCUUUAAUUCCCUAAUUGUUUUUUUUAAGUCUAUAUCAAGACUUUUGCAAAGUACUUCUCAUGUCUCUAGAAGAAAAUAUAAUCAGCGUCCAUGUUGUGCUCCAUCCUUACACUACUUUCGGGGAAACGAAGAGAAGAAUAUUAUCACUGUUUGUGACGCAGAGGAACGAUUAUCACUUUUGUCUCACCUGAAGCCUCUGGUGCUACCUGCUCAUCGUAUGCUGGAGGAGCCAGAUGACUGCUAACAUACAUUCUUCUUUUGUAGGCAAACAAGCCGGAGCCUGGCUGGACCUUGUUUCAAUAUUGAUUGAUCCGCCCAACAUUCCCUUUCCAUUGGUGGUGGUCACUGCUCCAUCUUGCAACUGGUGCGCUGAACUUCUCACCAUUUUACACAGCAACACCCCUAAAAGCGCCCCCCUCUUCUCCGUGGCCCAUUUUGCUUUUAUUAAAAUAGACAACGUUGUACAAGUCAAAUCUUACAAAAUAAUACCCCAUAUAUGUAUUUAUAUGUAUAUAUUAGCCUUUAACCAAUAUUUGUGUUUUGACAAAAACAACUUGUACGUUUCCUUCUCUUCUCCUGUGAUCAGCCAUUUCCCCCAGGACCCCUGAGUCCUGUUAGUAAUGAAUAAUAUAGGGACCAGAAUCUGCCUGGCAUGUGGCUCACACCUAUAAUCCCAGCACAAGGGAAGCCAAAGCAAGAGCACUGCCAUGAAUUCAAGGCCUACCUGGCCUAUACAGUCGGCGUCAGCCUGGGCUUCGGAGUGAAAAAACUAUGUCAAAGAACAAAAUAAACAGAUCUGAACCCUGGAUAUACUCGGCA
rnacentral:lncRNA from 1 species